rnacentral:rRNA from 1 species
AGAGUUUGAUCCUGGCUCAGGAUGAACGCUGGCGGUAUGCUUAACACAUGCAAGUCGAACGGAUGUUUUCGGACAUUAGUGGCGGACGGGUGAGUAACGCGUGAGAAUCUGGCUUCAGGUUCGGGACAACAGAUGGAAACGUCUGCUAAUACCGGAUAUGCCCAAGGGUGAAAGAUUAAUUGCCUGAAGAUGAGCUCGCGUCUGAUUAGCUAGUUGGUAGGGUAAAAGCCUACCAAGGCGACGAUCAGUAACUGGUCUGAGAGGAUGACCAGUCACACUGGGACUGAGACACGGCCCAGACUCCUACGGGAGGCAGCAGUGGGGAAUUUUCCGCAAUGGGCGAAAGCCUGACGGAGCAAUACCGCGUGAGGGAGGAAGGCUCUUGGGUUGUAAACCUCUUUUCUUAGGGAAGAAAACUGACGGUACCUAAGGAAUAAGCAUCGGCUAACUCCGUGCCAGCCGCCGCGGUAAUAC